UACGUAGGGGGCAAGCGUUGUCCGGAUUUAUUGGGCGUAAAGAGCUCGUAGGUGGUUCGGUAAGUCGGAUGUGAAAUCUCCAGGCUCAACCUGGAGGGGUCAUUCGAUACUGCCGUGACUAGAGGUCGGUAGGGGAGUGUGGAAUUCCUGGUGGAGCGGUGAAAUGCGCAGAUAUCAGGAAGAACACCGGUGGCGAAGGCGGCUCUCUGGGCCUUACCUGACGCUGAGGAGCGAAAGCGUGGGUAGCGAACAGG
rnacentral:rRNA from 1 species